UUUGAAACUUGAAAUACCCAUUUUUAGAGCCCAAAUAUACUGAACCCUGUUGUGAGACUUCAGCUUAUGGUUGUGUUGGAACAACAUACUCAACAUACAGGAUUUUUUAAAAAAAGACAAAAAAAGAAGAAACACAACUUAAGGGACCUCGUGCUUUAGAACUAAUUCUUGUCUGAAUAUACACUUGUUGUUCCACUUUGCCAGAAAAGCUAGGGCGUGGUAUCCUUAUGUUGUACAGCUAAAGCAUUAUACAAAGUUAAGAAACACCACUGGAUCAUGUUUCCUUAGAGCUAGAAGAAAGGAAUUGGACAUCAGCUUUCUCAAACUCUGACAUUGUGGAAUUCAUAUUUCACUCAUUAGCCAGGAUCAGCAAUAGUCCAGUACACACAGACACCGAGGACACUGGAACAAUAGCAAGAGAACUGUGCUUCAGUCCAGAGUCGAGAGGAGAAGGUGAAGUCUGGGAAGUACCCUGGGCAUAAGCAAGAUGCCUGGCUUAGAAGGGAAAUAGUCCAGAUCAAGAACAAACAUGCAGAUAAGUCACUUGAAGAUUCUGGCAGAGCAGCAACAAUCACAAGAUGCCUGGGAGAGAUGAUUGUCAAAGACCUCCAGCCUCUGUCCAUAGAGGAAGAGGUGGCCUGAACAUACGACCCAUCAGGGGCAGAAAUGCCUGCUCUGGUAGUGUGGGGAGCUACCGUAAUGGCCAGUGUGAAACAGUGUGUGAUGAUCACUGGGACAUGAAGGAUGCAGAGGUGUUGUGCAGACAGCUGGGAUGUGGCCGAGCUCUCAGGGAAGUGGUCCGAUAUUUCUGGAUGAUGAUGGUUGUUCUGGAAGUGAAGGCUCCCUUACACAGUGCUCUCAUCUUGGAUCACACAACUGUAAUCAGGGUGAAGAUUUUGGUGUAACAUGUUCAGAUCCACUGACAGGAUUUCCAGCCUGAUUGAGACUCCGGCCAACUGUGUCGGCUAUUUAAAGGCCCCUCACAGAAGAGCAGAGAGAGAAGAGAGUGAAAGAAGACUGUGUUAGUUUGGAGUUGUUUUG